rnacentral:rRNA from 1 species
CCUACGGGUGGCUGCAGUGGGGAAUAUUGGACAAUGGGGGGAACCCUGAUCCAGCCAUGCCGCGUGUGUGAAGAAGGCCCUCGGGUUGUAAAGCACUUUCAGUGAGGAAGAACGCCUGGUGGUUAAUACCCAUCAGGAAAGACAUCACUCACAGAAGAAGCACCGGCUAACUCCGUGCCAGCAGCCGCGGUAAUACGGAGGGUGCGAGCGUUAAUCGGAAUUACUGGGCGUAAAGCGCGCGUAGGUGGCUUGAUAAGCCGGUUGUGAAAGCCCCGGGCUCAACCUGGGAACGGCAUCCGGAACUGUCAAGCUAGAGUGCAGGAGAGGAAGGUAGAAUUCCCGGUGUAGCGGUGAAAUGCGUAGAGAUCGGGAGGAAUACCAGUGGCGAAGGCGGCCUUCUGGACUGAAACUGACACUGAGGUGCGAAAGCGUGGGUAGCAAACAGGAUUAGAUACCCCUGUAGUC